GUGGGGAAUAUUGGACAAUGGGGGCAACCCUGAUCCAGCAAUGCCGCGUGAGUGAUGAAGGCCUUAGGGUUGUAAAGCUCUUUUACCCGGGAUGAUAAUGACAGUACCGGGAGAAUAAGCUCCGGCUAACUCCGUGCCAGCAGCCGCGGUAAUACGGAUGGAGCUAGCGUUGUUCGGAAUUACUGGGCGUAAAGCGCGCGUAGGCGGCUACUCAAGUCAGGGGUGAAAGCCCGGGGCUCAACCCCGGAACUGCCGUUGAAACUAGGUAGCUAGAAUCUUGGAGAGGUCAGUGGAAUUCCUAGUGUAGAGGUGAAAUUCGUAGAUAUUCGGAAGAACACCAGUGGCGAAGGCGACUGACUGGACAAGUAUUGACGCUGAGGUGCGAAAGCGUGGGGAGCAAACAGGAUUAGAAACCCGUGUAGUCC
rnacentral:rRNA from 1 species